rfam:Setosphaeria turcica Et28A unplaced genomic scaffold SETTTscaffold_18, whole genome shotgun sequence.
GACACGAUGGCCGAGUGGUCUAAGGCGGUAGAUUUAAGCCUUGCUUAGGUCUCUACUACAGAAAUGUGCGUGGGUUCAAGUCCCACUCGUGUCA